rnacentral:rRNA from 1 species
UACGAGGGGGGCAAGCGUUGUUCGGAAUUAUUGGGCGUAAAGAGCGUGUAGGCGGUUCGGUAGGUCCGUUGUGAAAACUCGAGCUCAACCUCGAGACGCCGAUGGAAACCCCCGAACUAGAGUCCGGAAGAGGAGAGUGGAAUUCCCGGUGUAGCGGUGAAAUGCGCAGAUAUCGGGAAGAACACCCGUGGCUAAGGCGGCUCUCUAGUACGGUACUGACGCUGAGACGCGAAAGCGUGGGGAGCGAACAGG